GCUGUUUCCUGAUAUGCGUCAAAAGGAUUCGUCUGCCCAAGGAUGGGUCUGCGGCCUAUCAGGUAGUAGUGGGUGUAAUGUACCUACUAGCCAGCGACGGGUACGGGUUGUGAGAGCAAGAGCCCGGAGAUGGAUUCUGAGACAUGAAUCCAGGCCCUACGGGGCGCAGCAGGCGCGAAAACUUUACAAUGCGGGAAACCGUGACAAGGGGACACCGAGUGCCAGCAUCAUAUGCUGGCUGUCCGGAUGUGUAAAAUACAUCCGUUAGCAAGGGCCGGGCAAGACCGGUGCCAGCCGCCGCGGUAACACCGGCGGCCCGAGUGGUGAUCGUGAUUAUUGGGUCUAAAGGGUCCGUAGCCGGUUUGGUCAGUCCUCCGGGAAAUCUGAUAGCUUAACUAUUAGGCUUUCGGGGGAUACUGCCAGACUUGGAACCGGGAGAGGUAAGAGGUACUACAGGGGUAGGAGUGAAAUCUUGUAAUCCCUGUGGGACCACCUGUGGCGAAGGCGUCUUACCAGAACGGGUUCGACGGUGAGGGACGAAAGCUGGGGGCACGAACCGGAUUAGAUACCCGGGUAGUCCCAGCCGUAAACGAUGCUCGCUAGGUGUCANGCAUGGCGCGACCGUGUCUGGUGCCGCAGGGAAGCCGUGAAGCGAGCCACCUGGGAAGUACGGCCGCAAGGCUGAAACUUAAAGGAAUUGGCGGGGGAGCACAACAACGGGUGGAGCCUGCGGUUUAAUUGGACUCAACGCCGGACAACUCACCGGGGGCGACAGCAAUAUGUAGGCCAAGCUGAAGACUUUGCCUGAAUCGCUGAGAGGAGGUGCAUGGCCGUCGCCAGUUCGUACUGUGAAGCAUCCUGUUAAGUCAGGCAACGAGCGAGACCCGUGCCCACUGUUACCAGCAUGUCCUCCGGGACGAUGGGUACUCUGUGGGGACCGCCGAUGUUAAAUCGGAGGAAGGUGCGGGCCACGGUAGGUCAGUAUGCCCCGAAUCUCCCGGGCUACACGCGGGCUACAAUGGAUGGGACAAUGGGUCCCUCCCCUGAAAAGGGCUGGUAAUCUCACAAACCCAUUCGUAGUUCGGAUCGAGGGCUGUAACUCGCCCUCGUGAAGCUGGAAUCCGUAGUAAUCGCGUUU
rnacentral:rRNA from 1 species